GUAAGAAUGUAGUUAUUGCAGAAGAGGCGGGACAGGCAAUCUUAACUGAUCAUGCUUUUGCUGAUUCGCAGUCAACCAUUGAACGUAUUGAUUUUGUGGCAACUAGGGAGCUGGAGAACAAUAUAUAGUGUGCUAAAAGUAUUAAGAAAGUGAAGAUAAAAAAGAAUUUGCUUGGAAAUCAAAAAGGCAUCAAGAAAGUGAAGAUAAAAGGUCUUCAAGCUGUAUCAAAAAGGAAAGCAAUUGCCGAAGGAGAUACUUCUGAUGACCUAGUCAUGUUUUCUAAGGGUCACUCUUCCAGUCCAGAGAUUCAACUGAUAAGAGUAAUUUCUCCAAAUGCUGAGAAUCCCGAUUAGUUUUUAAUUGGUGGGGCUCAAGGGGUUAAAGAUCAAAAGUUUCCAUGUGUUAACGUGUCGAUGACUGAUAGGCCCUUUACUUGAAAUGUUUAGUUUGGAAAUGACUCAUUUACCAUGUCUUUUUUGUGUGACAUUUUUAAUCGACUUGUCUAUUUUAGAGAUUUUCCCUAUGUAAGUUCCAAGAUUCUUUACUU
rnacentral:lncRNA from 1 species